rnacentral:rRNA from 1 species
UAGGGAAUCUUCGGCAAUGGACGGAAGUCUGACCGAGCAACGCCGCGUGAGUGAAGAAGGUUUUCGGAUCGUAAAGCUCUGUUGUUCGAGAAGAACGUUGGUAGGAGUGGAAAAUCUACCAAGUGACGGUAACUAACCAGAAAGGGACGGCUAACUACGUGCCAGCAGCCGCGGUAAUACGUAGGUCCCGAGCGUUGUCCGGGUUUAUUGGGCGUAAAGCGAGCGCAGGCGGUUCUUUAAGUCUGAAGUUAAAGGCAGUGGCUUAACCAUUGUACGCUUUGGAAACUGGAGGACUUGAGUGCAGAAGGGGAGAGUGGAAUUCCAUGUGUGGCGGUGAAAUGCGUAGAUAUAUGGAGAAAAACCGGUGGCGAAAGCGGCUCUCUGGUCUGUAACUGACGACGAGGCUCGAAAGCGUGGGGAGCAAACAGG